UCGUAACAAGGUCUCCGUUGGUGAACCAGCGGAGGGAUCAUUACAGAGUUACUACUCCAAACCCAUUGUGAACCUUACCUAUGUUCUGUUGCCUCGGCGGCGUGGUCAGCGCCCCCUCUGAAAAGAGGACGAUGCCCUCCCGCCGGCAGCACCAAACUCUUUGAAUUUUACAGCGGAUUACAGUUCUGAUUUGAAAACAAAAAACAAGUUAAAACUUUCAACAACGGAUCUCUUGGUUCUGGCAUCGAUGAAGAACGCAGCGAAAUGCGAUAAGUAAUGUGAAUUGCAGAAUUCAGUGAAUCAUCGAAUCUUUGAACGCACAUUGCGCCCGGCAGUAAUCUGCCGGGCAUGCCUGUCCGAGCGUCAUUUCAACCCUCGAACCUCCGUUUCCUCAGGGAAGCUCAGGGUCGGUGUUGGGGCGCUACGGCGAGUCUUCGCGACCCUCCGUAGGCCCUGAAAUACAGUGGCGGUCCCGCCGCGGUUGCCUUCUGCGUAGUAAGUCUCUUUUGCAAGCUCGCAUUGGGUCCCGGCGGAGGCCUGCCGUCAAACCACCUAUAACUCCAGAUGGUUUGACCUCGGAUCAGGUAGGGUUACCCGCUGAACUUAAGCAUAUCAAUAA
rnacentral:misc_RNA from 1 species